UCAUCACUGAUCAAGCAUUGUAACCAGCGUUCACAAGAAUGUUGAGAUGGAGCAUGUUCACCAUCAGCUUCCCAAAGUAUACAAUAACUUUUUCUUCAAAAUAAAGUAAUGAAUUAAAACUUC